ACAAGGUAAUUAUACAAUAAUAUAGAUCAGAUCAAUAUGAUAUCAACUUGAAAUAUUUGCUGAUCUAUCUAACGCUAAAUUAUUUAUUUUAGGUUAUCUAGUCGAAAGUCUGAAGGAAGAAAUACGAUGCAAUGAAUUUAACUAUAUAAAAAAAAAAUAAAAGUAUUUGACAAAAAAUUAAGUCGAAGAUAACCCAAAAUUAUCUUGAAUAUUCAAAAUUUGUUAUACUAAAGCUAGAAAAUGAAAAACAUUGACUUUAGAUCAUGAUCAAUUAAAAAUAUAAACUGUUCAGUACAACCUUUCACGAUGUAAUAUGAAGAUAAACCAAACUGCUAUGAAGUCUCUUCGGAUCCAAGAAGAAAUCAACUCCUCUUUCACUGGAACAAUGUUCUAAACAUGGUAGAUACCCGCAUCGGAAUACUUUUUCACUUUUCUUAUAAAGUUGAGGGUCAUUUUUGAAAAUUUUUUCUUCACCAUGAAGAUUAUUUAUACAGAUUAAUGUCUAUUUCAACAUAAUUUCACAAAUCUAUACAUGCAGCUAAAUGAUGCAAGACGUAUCACCUUAACGAAGUUCCUUUCGAAGUGACUUUUGGAAACAUGGAACCUUUUGAUGAUUCUUACGAACAAAUAAGGCUAUUGUAUGAUACAAAUAGAAGUAAUUCUCUGGUAAAACUCAAAAUUCAAAUUAUUAUAUAUUCUAUUUACUAAUUUCUAAUUUAUAUGUCAUUGAAAUAUCAUCUUUGAUAUAGGAUUACCUAUUUUGAUUUCUUAUGUAAUUCUACCUUUAUACACUUAAAUAAAACCAUCUUAUAACUA